UCGGGAAUCUUGCACAAUGGGCGAAAGCCUGUUGCAGCAACACCGUGUGAGCGAUGAAGGCCCUAGGGUCGUAAAGCUCUGUUGUUAGGGACGAAGGGCGAAGGGUUAAUAGCCCUUAGCCUGACGGUACCUUUCGAGGAAGCCCCGGCUAACUACGUGCCAGCAGCCGCGGUAAUACGUAGGGGGCGAGCGUUGUCCGGAAUUAUUGGGCGUAAAGAGCGUGUAGGCGGCUUGGUAAGUCUGCUGUGAAACCUUGGGGCUCAACCCCAAGCGUGCAGUGGAUACUGCUAGGCUAGAGGAUGGUAGAGGCGAGUGGAAUUCCCGGUGUAGCGGUGAAAUGCGCAGAUAUCGGGAGGAACACCAGUAGCGAAGGCGGCUCGCUGGGCCAUUCCUGACGCUGAGACGCGAAAGCAUGGGGAGCGAACAGGAUUAGAUACCCGCGUAGUCC
rnacentral:rRNA from 1 species